rnacentral:rRNA from 1 species
UACGGAAGGGGCGAGCGUUGUUCGGAAUCAUUGGGCGUAAAGGGCGCGUAGGCGGCCUGCUAAGUCGAACGUGAAAUCCCGGGCUCAACCCGGGAACUGCGUCCGAUACUGGCAGGCUUGAAUUCGGGAGAGGGAUGCGGAAUUCCCGGUGUGAGCGGUGAAAUGCGCAGAUAUCGGGAAGAACACCUAUGGCGAAGGCAGCUCUCUGGGACGGUACUGACGCUGAGACGCGAAAGCGUGGGGAGCGAACAGG